rnacentral:rRNA from 1 species
GAACCCGGAAGUUAAGCUCUUCAGCGCCGAUGGUACUGCACUCGGGAGGGUGUGGGAGAGUAGGUCGCCGCCGGAC